UACGUAGGGGGGCAAGCGUUGUCCGGAAUCAUUGGGCGUAAAGAGCGUGUAGGCGGUCCGGUAAGUCGGCUGUGAAAGUCCAGGGCUCAACCCUGGGAUGCCGGUCGAUACUGCCGGACUAGAGUUCGGAAGAGGCGAGUGGAAUUCCCGGUGUAGCGGUGAAAUGCGCAGAUAUCGGGGAGGAACACCUAUGGCGAAGGCAGCUCGCUGGGACGUUACUGACGCUGGAGGCGCGAAAGCUAGGGGAGCAAACGGG
rnacentral:rRNA from 1 species